GACUAGCAUCUAGCACCUUCAGUACGCCAGCACUAUGCAGUACAGUCAGGAGAGGGAGAGGCAAGUAGAACUAGCAAGAGUCUAGCCCCAGAUAUGUCAAUGCAGCCAGCAGCAGUGAGUCUCCAAGCCUGGGUCAACAGCCUUGGCCUCGUGGGACUCACGCUGUCAUGCUAAAAAUAGCUGUGUAGAUGUGUGGCUUGGGCUGGCACUCGAGCUCUGAAGCCCACCCAUCUCCCAUGGGCUGUGUAGAUAUAAAAAGGUCCCUCCUUCCACUGUAAAUUUAGAGCACUGAGAUCAAGCAUGCUCAGAUGCUGACUUUUCAGCAGAGCCAGAUAAAUGCUGACUAAACAUUUUUGCAUUGGACAUUACAGAUUCACUCAAAAUGAAGCCUUCUGAGGAGAUGGUUCACUUUUCACAGAGUUCUAGUGGAACCCACCAAAAACCUGUCUGGUUUUCUGCCAGCCUGCAUGGCUCCUUGGCAACCCCACUAUACAGACUGCCUCAGAGUCAUCAUGUCCAGAGUCAGGGCUUCCAGGUCCCAUAGCUCUGGGGCAGCCCACCAAGCAGACUGCAAUGGAGCCACCACUCCAUGUUGCUUUUUGUUCCAAAUUGGAAUGAAAUCAAAUGUCAGGAUAUUGAAAUCCUCCUCAAAAUGGAAUCAGCAGUCUGCAGCCCCGUUCUAUGCAUCAGUUGUGUUUGGGACACACAAUCAGGUUAGAAUUUAAGAGUAACUCAGCCCCCCUGCAAGCUCCAGCCUCACCACAGAAGCAGCACAAGAGGCACUACUGGGGGAAAGCCAAGGGAAAGGAGAUAACCAGUCUCUGAUUUGAUUGAGGCAGCAGGUAGAGAGGGGCCUGUUACCAAGGAGUGGAAGUCCUAUGAGCUGGAGAGGGAUGUGCCAGAGGGAAUGUCACAGGAUGACACUGGCCAUUUAAGAGGGAACGGGGCCAAUGCACCCAUGGCUUGUCAGCUGACCCCAAUUAGAACAGAGCUACCUGUGGUGAUUUCUUUCCCCCCCCAGGAGUUGUAAUGGUGGGAAUUACAGCUGAGGAGCUAUUGCUGGGGGGGAGGACGGAGUGAGGAUUUAUUUACUGGUGAAGAGUGAAUACAGCAAAAUAUUUAGCUUGGGCGAUUUGUUUGUUUAAAUCGGGAAGACCAGAAAUGAUUGAGAGAGAUUGGGGGUAGGUGAGAAAUAAGAGGAGGUAGCUAACUGGUAGCCCUGUGUUUUGGAGACUGACCCAACUCUCUGUUCCCAAUAAAGCCAAGGGGACUUGCUCAGUGAAAGCAGCUAGGCCAGUGCUAA